rnacentral:snoRNA from 1 species
CUUCCUGCUGGCAUAUAUGAUGACUUAGCUUUUUUCCCCGACAGAUCGACUAUGUUGAUCUAACUUUUCUAAGCCAGUUUCUGUCUGAUAUGCCAGCUUGAGC